AUUGAACGCUGGCGGCCGGCUUAACACAUGCAAGUCGAACGGGUGGCGGACGGGUGCGUAAUGCUUGGGCAUCUAGCUUAUGUAGGGGGAUAACUACGGGAAACUGUAGCUAAUACCGCGUACCAUAGGCUGAGCCCAAGUGGGAUUAGGUAGUUGGUGAGGUAAAGGCUCACCAAGCCGACGAUCUCUAGCUGGUCUGAGAGGAUGACCAGCCACACUGGGACGGAGAAACGGCCCAGACUCCUACGGGAGGCAGAAGUGGGGAAUAUUGCGCAAUGGGGGCAACCUGACGCAGCCAUGCCGCGUGAAUGAAGAAGGCCUUCGGGUUGUAAAGUUCUUUCGGUAGCGAGGCGUUAACUACAGAAGAAGCACCGGCUAACUCCGUGCCAGCAGCCGCGGUAAUUC
rnacentral:rRNA from 1 species